UGAAGAUUGGGGUGGAGGAGAGAUUUGAGACUUGCAUGCUGGAGGAAGUGGGAGAAGCCAUCAUAUAUUUGACUGCUAGUUCAGCUUCAGAUGAUCAAAUACUGUUUGACAUGGCAUAAGAACCCUGAUUCACUAUAACAUAGGGAACAGUUCAUUACUGGCAUGAGCGGGGACUAGAUGAUGUACCAGAUCUCUUCCAUCUCUACUUUCUGUGAUUCUAUGGGCACACACUGUACAUCAGCUAAAACUUUUGAAAGAUUAAAAGGUUGGAGGAUCUGCCUGUGCAAGAUAAGAAGGUAAAGAAACAAAGAAUGAACACAUCUUUACAGACAUGGGGAGCAGUAUUUUUACUCAGUCAAUUUGAAAUCUAUAUAACAAAUCACAAGACAUAAUAAGAAAAGGACCAAGUAUGGUGAAGCUCUGGGUACAGGGCUGGCCAGGGAGGCUGGCAUGCCCCGAGCGCUGGCUCCGGAGCUCUGAUAGGUUGGGAACUACAGCCAAUGGGAGCUGCAGGGGUGGCGCCUGCAGAUGAGGGCAGUGCACAGAGUUCCCUGGCCAUGCCUACACCUAGGAACUAGAGGAAAAUGUUGUUCCUUCCAGGAGCCACAUGAGUUCCAGGUAGCUGACCUACAAGGAGGACACCUGCAGCUCUGAGAACCAUCUGGUAACCCCAACACAGUACCGAGGGG